rnacentral:rRNA from 1 species
CCUACGGGAGGCAGCAGUGGGGAAUAUUGGGCAAUGGGCGCAAGCCUGACCCAGCAACGCCGCGUGAAGGAAGAAGGCUUUCGGGUUGUAAACUUCUUUUCUCAGGGACGAAGAAAGUGACGGUACCUGCGGAAUAAGCCACGGCUAACUACGUGCCAGCAGCCGCGGUAAUACGUAGGUGGCAAGCGUUAUCCGGAUUUACUGGGUGUAAAGGGCGUGUAGGCGGGAAAGCAAGUCAGAUGUGAAAACCAUGGGCUCAACCUGUGGCCUGCAUUUGAAACUGUUUUUCUUGAGUAAUGGAGAGGCAGACGGAAUUCCUGGUGUAGCGGUGAAAUGCGUAGAUAUGAGGAGGAACACCAGUGGCGAAGGCGGUCUGCUGGACAGCAACUGACGCUGAGGCGCGAAGGCGUGGGGAGCAAACAGGAUUAGAUACCCGGGUAGUC